rnacentral:ncRNA from 1 species
UUACAUAUUCGGCACAUCUGUUGAAAAGCAGAGUCGCAAAACUUUAGGGGCUAACCCAUUUGGAAACGAAUGGUAUGCCAGCCAGUUGCACAU